UCGGAUAUGGUGUAACGGCUAACAUUACCGCCUCUCAUAGGCGUUAGUCCUGAUCGCGGUAGCUCGGGGUUCGAUUCCCCGUAUCCGAA